rnacentral:rRNA from 1 species
AUUGAACGCUGGCGGCAUGCCUAACACAUGCAAGUCGAACGGUAACAGGCCCUUCGGGUGCUGACGAGUGGCGGAUGGGUGAGUAAUACUUAGGAAUCUACCCUGUAGUGGGGGACAACCCGGGGAAACUCGGGCUAAUACCGCAUACGCUCUACGGAGGAAAGCGGGGGACCGCAAGGCCUCGCGCUAUUGGAUGAGCCUAAGCCCGAUUAGCUAGUUGGUGGGGUAAUAGCCUACCAAGGCAAUGAUCGGUAGCUGGUCUGAGAGGACCG